UUUGUUAAUUUCUAUUCUUUAUGAGACAGUUAUCUCGUAAUAGUUUGUGAUUUGUGAUGAAUAAUAUGUAGUGGUUGUCUCUAUGAGGAACAUAAUUUAUUUUCUUGUAUACAUAAAUAUGUGUGUUGUGUUUAUUAUUUUGCUAACGGGAUCAGAAUUGAAAUAAAAUCAAUUAUUUGUCCGAUCCAAUUAGUUAAAUUUAUGUCUGCGUUAAGUGGGCUUAGCCCACAUAUAAUUGGGGCAAAAGUGUAUUCCAUUCAUAAAUCAGCACUAAAAGGGCCGCAAACAAUAUGCACAACUUUUGAGCUCGACCCAAUAACUUAUGAGCCUACCGGAAUCAAUUUUGAGUUAUUGGAACAACAUUGGCAUGUGGGAAUAAAUUUGGACUCGACCUAACAACAAAUGGGCCAAAUUCAUUUUAUGAUGAAACAAUUUGUCACAACUGUCAUGCCACAUCGGAUGCUACAUCAGAUUCUGUCCAUCGUAGCAAAACAGGAGGAGCCAAUUUAUGAUGUUUUUGUUGACGUUUCGUAUGCGUCAUAGAUACAAUAAGGAACGUCACUAGUCACGGUUUAUGACGCUCGAUUAAUAACGGGGGAUUUUUGUCACUCGAGCAUCAUAAAUCACAAUUUAUGACAAAAAAUAUGCUUAUGACACGUUUUGAUUUGUCAUAGACCAGAAUAUUUCUUAUAGUACUCGCCGUCGUGCCGUCUGCAUGCCUCCCACUACGGCCCCCUUCCCCGACCUUCCUAACCAGUACACUGCCUCGCCCCCGCCGCCGACACCGGCUGUCGGACAUCCUCCACCACCCUACCGGUGGAGUCAUCGCUGCCUGGCCUCGCCGCCCGCAACCCACGCUCCUCCGCCGGGCAUGCCGCUGCUGUCGGACAACCCUUUAGGCCCGCUGAUCAUGGUGCCUCCCUCACAAUCACGAACCCAGGGAACCCAGAAACCAGGACCCCGCCAGCCUCCACCGCCAUCCGCAGCUGGCCGCCCCCGCCCACCUCCCGCCCGCAGGCCACGGUCAUCUUUCUUUUGCCAUUGUUACUUUCUGUAUGUCAUGUUACUUUAAUAGUCAUCAAUGUAACAAAAAGGGGUCUUUGGUUAACUUCAAUGGAGACGCUUCUCCAUAUAGCUUUUGCGUAAAACGAAUUCAGCUCACCAGCUCGCUCAUACCCGUUCAAGCACCAGCAGAAUUCAGCUCACCAAGCACCUCACAUGCCUUGGAGACAUUCUUUAUGGUCCGUGAUUUGGCCUCUCCCGCCGUCGUCUACGUGCCUGGCCAUCCCCACCAGAUAGCGCAAUCCUUCCUUGUAAUCCCUGUAGAGCAUGCACCCGUAACCACCGUGGUUCACGCGGCCAAAUACCUCUUGGACAUUUCUUCGAACACUUUCAUGGCGUAGCCGACAAGCAUGCACCAGCGUUGAUGCGACAGCGAUGGAACCGCCAUCGUUUACGCAGAGGCCAUACCUGACGAUGUAAAUGUGCAUGGAGAAGCCAACGGCGAGCGGCCUGAGCUCGGUACCGGCAGGGCGGCGAGCGCCGCCGUGAACCCUGGGCCUCCGCGCACCGCCUACCGCGCCGCCCCCUCCGCCUGCAGCGCUGCUCGCCGCCCUCCGCCCGCGUGGUGGUACAAGAAACCGAGACAAGGUGCUGCUCCCAGGGCUGGAGCCUGUGCUACGCGGCGCGCGGGAGGAAGGCAGCACCACUGUGGUGGCGGCCUUGACGCGUCCUGAGAAGAGCGCUCAGCGUGCGGCCCACUGCCCGCGAUUCCCUCAGACUGCUGCGCCGCUAGCCGCGCUCGCUUGCAGCGCCGCCCAUCGCUCUCCACCCUGCGUCUUCUCUUCCCCACAAAGGCAGCCAUUGGUGUGGAUUUGUGGCGGUACUGUUUCUGCGAUAAUGGAAAGGAGACAAGCAGAUCCACUAGUUUAUGCUUGGCCGGGUGGAGAGAAG
rnacentral:lncRNA from 1 species